rnacentral:rRNA from 1 species
UACGUAGGGGGCAAGCGUUGUCCGGAAUUAUUGGGCGUAAAGCGCGCGCAGGCGGUUCAUUAAGUUGGGUGUUUAAUCCCGGGGCUCAACCCCGGUUCGCAUCCGAAACUGGUGAACUUGAGUGUAAGAGAGGAAAGCGGAAUUCCACGUGUAGCGGUGAAAUGCGUAGAGAUGUGGAGGAACACCAGUGGCGAAGGCGGCUUUCUGGUCUGUAACUGACGCUGAGGCGCGAAAGCGUGGGGAGCAAACAGG